GGACGAACGCUGGCGGCGUGCCUAACACAUGCAAGUCGAGCGGAGUCAGUAAGAGGAAGUUUCGGAUGGAAUCUUAUUGAUUUAGCGGCGGACGGGUGAGUAACGCGUGAGCGACCAACCUUGCACAGGGGGAUAACGGACCGAAAGGUUCACUAAUACCGCAUGAGACCACGGUGUUGCAUGACACAGAGGUCAAAGGAGCAAUCCGGUGCAAGACGGGCUCGCGUCCGAUUAGGUAGUUGGAGGGGUAACGGCCCACCAAGCCUAUGAUCGGUAGCCGACCUGAGAGGGUGAUCGGCCACAUUGGAACUGAGAUACGGUCCAAACUCCUACGGGAGGCAGCAGUGGGGAAUAUUGGGCAAUGGGGGGAAAAACCCCCUGACCCAGCAACGCCGCGUGAAGGAAGAAGGUUUUCGGAUUGUAAACUUCUGUCCUUGGUGAAGAGAAGAAGACGGUAGCCAAGGAGGAAGCCCCGGCUAACUACGUGCCAGCCGCUGC
rnacentral:rRNA from 1 species